GACGAACGCUGGCGGCGUGCUUAACACAUGCAAGUCGAGCGGUAAGGCCCUUUCGGGGGUACACGAGCGGCGAACGGGUGAGUAACACGUGGGUGACCUGCCCUCAGCUCUGGGAUAAGCCUGGGAAACCGGGUCUAAUACUGGAUAUGACUCCAUGACGCAUGUUGUGGGGUGGGAAAGACCUUGUGCGGCUGAGGAUGGGCCCGGCGGCCUAUCAGCUUGUU
rnacentral:rRNA from 1 species